CCCCGAUCCGACACCUCAACCGCAUCCCGAUAAGGAGACUCAUGCUCAACCCACGAUAGGGGUGAUCAACAUGAUUUCCAUGGGAUCGAAACUUCGAGGUGCGGAUGUCUCGGAGAACUCCUCCAAGUGACAGCGAGUAAGCGACGACAUCAUUUUUUCUGAAAAAGAUCUGUGAGGAGAACAGACUCUCUACAACGACAUUGUUGUUGUAUCAAUG
rnacentral:lncRNA from 1 species